rnacentral:rRNA from 1 species
AUUGAACGCUGGCGGCAGGCCUAACACAUGCAAGUCGAGCGAGCGGCGGACGGGUGAGUCAUGUAUGGGGACUGCCCGAUAGAGAGGGAUAACAACUGGAAACGGUAGCUAAUACCGCAUACUAUCGGAUAAUCCAUAUGGGAUUAGCUAUGAGGUGCGGUAAUGGCUCACCCAGGCGACGAUCCCUAGCUGGUAUGAGAGGAUGAUCAGCCACACUGGGACUGAGACAACUCCCAGACGCCUACGGAGCCAUCAGGGGGGAAUAUUGCACAAUGGGCGCAAGCCUGAUGCAGCCAUGCCGCGUGUAUGAAGAAGGCCCUAGGGUUGGAAAGUACUUUCAGUCGGGAGGCGUUACCGACAGAAGAAGCACCGGCUAACUCCGUGCCAGCAGCCGCGGUAAUAC